GACGAACGCUGGCGGCGUGCUUAACACAUGCAAGUCGAACGGAAAGGCCCUGCUUUUGUGGGGUGCUCGAGUGGCGAACGGGUGAGUAACACGUGAGUAACCUGCCCUUGACUUUGGGAUAACUUCAGGAAACUGGGGCUAAUACCGGAUAGGAGCUCCUGCUGCAUGGUGGGGGUUGGAAAGUUUCGGCGGUUGGGGAUGGACUCGCGGCUUAUCAGCUUGUUGGUGGGGUAGUGGCUUACCAAGGCUUUGACGGGUAGCCGGCCUGAGAGGGUGACCGGGCAACUGUGGGACUGAGAACGGGCCAAGCCGCCGAGGGGGGGCAGCAGGGGGAAUUUUUGCCAAGGGGGCGGAAGCCGGAUGCAGCAGCCCCGGGUGCGGGAUGCCGGCCUGCGGUUGGAAACCCGUUUGCGCCGGGGACGAAGGGGGGGGGGGGUAAAUGGGUAAAGAAGACCGGCCAAGUAAGGUC
rnacentral:rRNA from 1 species